UGCGCGGCUACCAUGCAAGUCGAACGGAAAGGCCCUGCUUUUGUGGGGUGCUCGAGUGGCGAACGGGUGAGUAACACGUGAGUAACCUGCCCUUGACUUUGGGAUAACUUCAGGAAACUGGGGCUAAUACCGGAUAGGAGCUCCUGCUGCAUGGUGGGGGUUGGAAAGUUUCGGCGGUUGGGGAUGGACUCGCGGCUUAUCAGCUUGUUGGUGGGGUAGUGGCUUACCAAGGCUUUGACGGGUAGCCGGCCUGAGAGGGUGACCGGCCACAUUGGGACUGAGAUACGGCCCAGACUCCUACGGGAGGCAGCAGUGGGGAAUAUUGCACAAUGGGCGGAAGCCUGAUGCAGCAACGCCGCGUGCGGGAUGACGGCCUUCGGGUUGUAAACCGCUUUCGCCUGUGACGAAGCGUGAGUGACGGUAAUGGGUAAAGAAGCACCGGCUAACUACGUGCCAGCAGCCGCGGUGAUACGUAGGGUGCGAGCGUUGUCCGGAUUUAUUGGGCGUAAAGGGCUCGUAGGUGGUUGAUCGCGUCGGAAGUGUAAUCUUGGGGCUUAACCCUGAGCGUGCUUUCGAUACGGGUUGACUUGAGGAAGGUAGGGGAGAAUGGAAUUCCUGGUGGAGCGGUGGAAUGCGCAGAUAUCAGGAGGAACACCAGUGGCGAAGGCGGUUCUCUGGGCCUUUCCUGACGCUGAGGAGCGAAAGCGUGGGGAGCGAACAGGCUUAGAUACCCUGGUAGUCCACGCUGUAAACGGUGGGUACUAGGUGUGGGGUCCAUUCCACGGGCUCCGUGCCGUAGCUAACGCUUUAAGUACCCCGCCUGGGGAGUACGGCCGCAAGGCUAAAACUCAAAGGAAAUUGACGGGGCCCCG
rnacentral:rRNA from 1 species